GCCUUCGUGGUAUACUGGUCAACACGCUCGGCUUGUAUUCGAGAGGUCCUUGGUUCGAAUCUCGGCGAGGACA
rnacentral:tRNA from 1 species